rnacentral:rRNA from 1 species
AGAGUUUGAUCAUGGCUCAGAACGAACGCUGGCGGCGUGCCUAACACAUGCAAGUCGUACGAGAAAUCCUGGGCAACUGGGAAAGUAAAGUGGCGCACGGGUGAGUAACGCGUGGGUAACCUACCCUUGAAUUGGGGAUAACUCUUCGAAAGGGGAGUUAAUACCGAAUAAUAUUCCAAUCCCCCCGGGAAUUGGAAUCAAAGGUGGCCUCUGCAUGCAAGCUAUCAUUUGAGGAUGGGCCCGCGUACCAUUAGCUAGUUGGUAGGGUAAUGGCCUACCAAGGCAACGAUGGUUAGCUGGUCUAAGAGGAUGGCCAGCCACACUGGAACUGAGACACGGUCCAGACUCCUACGGGAGGCAGCAGUGGGGAAUCUUGCGCAAUGGGGGAAACCCUGACGCAGCAACGCCGCGUGGGUGAUGAAGGCCUUCGGGUCGUAAAGCCCUGUCAGGUGGGAGGAAACUUGUGGAUGUUAAUACCAUCCAUGCUUGACGGUACCACCGGAGGAAGCACCGGCUAACUCCGUGCCAGCAGCCGCGGUAAUACGGAGGGUGCAAGCGUUGUUCGGAAUUAUUGGGCGUAAAGCGCGUGUAGGUGGUCGUGUAAGUCAGAUGUGAAAGCCUUCUGCUUAACAGAAGAAGGGCAUUUGAGACUGCUCGACUAGAGUACGGGAGAGGAGAGUGGAAUUCCCGGUGUAGAGGUGAAAUUCGUAGAUAUCGGGAGGAACACCAGUGGCGAAGGCGGCUCUCUGGUCCGAUACUGACACU